AUCACAAAAACAAACUAAAAGUCAUGAAAAUUCAUUUAGAUUUAGAUUGAAGACACAUCCACCUUAAUUAUUAAAAAGUAUCGGUAUUGGUAUCGGUAUCGGCGAUACUGUCGAGAUGUUUAUCGCUAUGAAAUCACGUUCAAGAAGUCUCAUUCAGCGCACAUCGCGAUAUUUGCCAUCAGUUUACAUGUGCCACAGGUUGGCUGAAAAGACGUAAAGGAAGCAGUCAGCCCAGUCGUGUUUGUGGAGAGGUAUUCCUUCAGAAAUGGAGAAGACAGAAAGCUGCGGAGGCACACAUUUGCAGCAGAUUGUUUGCAGAUAAUGCUGUCCUUCUCCAUCAUGCACAAGGACUCACCUCUUUAACUCUUUAUCCCCCACACACACAGAAAUGGUCCCUGGAUCAGUGUUUAGACUUUGCAGUGGUUUGAUUUUUGCAGAAAAUGCAACUUUGUUUUAGUUAUAAGCUUUGUUUUAGACCUUCCAGCAACCCAUAUACUGUAUACAGAACCAGUGAUGAAAACAAUAGUUGAAAAUAGUAUUUCCGUAUUGAUAAAGCAUUGUGUUCUCUUUUUCAAGGUUCAUACAGUAAACUUUACUUCUGGUGCUUUUAUCAUAAAAAAGCAUCAGUUCUCAUCAGGAGUUUUAGUAAAGGACAUAUUCAUGCACAGCCAUCCCCUAGUUCCAGUCAUGAAGUGAAUGAUGUUAUUGUCAGUUAUAUUUCUGCAUUUUAUGUAGCAGGUGUUUGUUUUCCUGAACACUU